GAGGAAUAUUGGGCAAUGCCCGCAAGGGUGACCCAGCAACGCCGCGUGGAGGAUGAGUGUCGUAAGAUUGUAAACUCCUGUUAGAGGGGAAGAAUAGUACCGGUUGGACCGGUAUAUGACUGUACCCUCAGAGAAAGCCCCGGCUAACUACGUGCCAGCAGCCGCGGUAAUACGUAGGGGGCAAGCGUUGUCCGGAUUUACUGGGUGUAAAGGGCGCGCAGGCGGGAUAAAAAGUCAGUUGUGAAAUCCUACAGCUUAACUGUAGAACUGCCUUUGAUACUUUUAUUCUUGAGUUCGGGAGAGAGAGACGGAAUUCCAGGUGUAGUGGUGAAAUACGUAGAUAUCUGGAAGAACACCAGUUGCGAAGGCGGUCUCUUGGUCCGACACUGACGCUGAGGCGCGAAAGCGUGGGGAGCAAAC
rnacentral:rRNA from 1 species